GCAGGGAUACUCAAGCGGCCAACGAGGGCUGACUGUAAAUCAGCUGGCAUAUGCCUACGGGGGUUCGAAUCCCUCUCCCUGCACCA
rnacentral:tRNA from 1 species